GAGCUUGCUCUGUGGAUCAGUGGCGAACGGGUGAGUAACACGUGAGCAACCUGCCCCUGACUCUGGGAUAAGCGCUGGAAACGGCGUCUAAUACUGGAUAUGAGCUGCGAUCGCAUGGUCAGCAGUUGGAAAGAUUUUUCGGUCUGGGAUGGGCUCACGGCCUAUCAGCUUGUUGGUGAGGUAAUGGCUCACCAAGGCGUCGACGGGUAGCCGGCCUGAGAGGGUGACCGGCCACACUGGGACUGAGACACGGCCCAGACUCCUACGGGAGGCAGCAGUGGGGAAUAUUGCACAAUGGGCGAAAGCCUGAUGCAGCAACGCCGCGUGAGGGAUGACGGCCUUCGGGUUGUAAACCUCUUUUAGCAGGGAAGAAGCGAAAGUGACGGUACCUGCAGAAAAAGCGCCGGCUAACUACGUGCCAGCAGCCGCGGUAAUACGUAGGGCGCAAGCGUUAUCCGGAAUUAUUGGGCGUAAAGAGCUCGUAGGCGGUUUGUCGCGUCUGCUGUGAAAUCCCGAGGCUCAACCUCGGGUCUGCAGUGGGUACGGGCAGACUAGAGUGCGGUAGGGGAGAUUGGAAUUCCUGGUGUAGCGGUGGAAUGCGCAGAUAUCAGGAGGAACACCGAUGGCGAAGGCAGAUCUCUGGGCCGUUACUGACGCUGAGGAGCGAAAGGGUGGGGAGCAAACAGGCUUAGAUACCCUGGUAGUCCACCCCGUAAACGUUGGGAACUAGUUGUGGGGUCCAUUCCACGGAUUCCGUGACGCAGCUAACGCAUUAAGUUCCCCGCCUGGGGAGUACGGCCGCAAGGCUAAAACUCAAAGGAAUUGACGGGGACCCGCACAAGCGGCGGAGCAUGCGGAUUAAUUCGAUGCAACGCGAAGAACCUUACCAAGGCUUGACAUAUACGA
rnacentral:rRNA from 1 species